GGUCCCAUCGAUAUUGGA
rnacentral:misc_RNA from 1 species